rnacentral:rRNA from 1 species
ACCUACGGGGGGCAGCAGUGGGGAAUAUUGCCCAAUGGGGGAAACCCUGAUGCAGCGACGCCGCGUGAGUGAAGAAGUAUUUCGGUAUGUAAAGCUCGAUCAGCAGGGAAGAUAAUGACGGUACCUGACUAAGAAGCCCCGGCUAACUACGUGCCAGCAGCCGCGGUAAUACGUAGGGGGCAAGCGUUAUCCGGUUUUAUUGGGUGUAAAGGGUGCGUAGGGGGCAGGGCAGGU